rnacentral:rRNA from 1 species
CCUGAAACCGUGUACGUACAAGCAGUGGGAGCCCCACCACUAAGCCAGUGGUGAACUCCACAUACGCAUCCUUUGCUGAGGAUACGGUUAACGGAGCGAAAGCGACGUUCAACCGCAAAAGAAGCAGAGGGGGCUUAGUGGUGGGGUGACUGCGUACCUUUUGUAUAAUGGGUCAGCGACUUAUAUUCUGUAGCAAGGUUAACCGUAUAGGGGAGCCGUAGGGAAACCGAGUCUUAACCGGGCGUUAAGUUGCAGGGUAUAGACCCGAAACCCGGUGAUCUAGCCAUGGGCAGGUUGAAGGUUGGGUAACACUAACUGGAGGACCGAACCGACUAAUGUUGAAAAAUUAGCGGAUGACCUGUGGCUGGGGGUGAAAGGCCAAUCAAACCGGGAGAUAGCUGGUUCUCCCCGAAAGCUAUUUAGGUAGCGCCUCGUGAAUUCAUCUCCGGGGGUAGAGCACUGUUUCGGCUAGGGGGCCAUCCCGGCUUACCAACCCGAUGCAAACUGCGAAUACCGGAGAAUGUUAUCACGGGAGACACACGGCGGGUGCUAACGUCCGUCGUGAAGAGGGAAACAACCCAGACCGCCAGCUAAGGUCCCAAAGUCAUGGUUAAGUGGGAAACGAUGUGGGAAGGCCCAGACAGCCAGGAUGUUGGCUUAGAAGCAGCCAUCAUUUAAAGAAAGCGUAAUAGCUCACUGGUCGAGUCGGCCUGCGCGGAAGAUGUAACGGGGCUAAACCAU